rnacentral:misc_RNA from 1 species
AGGAUGAUAAAAUUUUGCUCAAAGCAAAACAAAGAUACAAUGGGAUGGUUUUGCCCUGUAGCUAGGGGAAAACCUGCAAAUACACAGUGGGCAAUAGAGCCUAAUUCUCAUUUUCCAUAAUUGCGUUUAACAGAUACAACCAUCGUCCAGGCAAAUGGCAAUGCAUCUCAUGCAUACUGACUAAACAUUUUAUGUUCCUUGUGCUCCCAACAUUUCUCAAUAAUAAUAAUAAUAAU